CUAGCCUGGUCUUGGUGGCCGUUAAAUCACCUUUGUAAAACACAGUUUUAAAGAGACAGCCUGGCUCAUAAAACAUCAUAGGUGACACGCUGAAGCCAGUGACUGCCUUCUCACUUGUUCAAGGCAUUCAUACUCUGCGCAGCCUGGGACGGGCAGAGCCUAGGAGUGAAAAGCACAGAUGGCAAGUUGGUAGCAUCAACAUUUCUCCAGCAACAAAAUUGGGAAAUCAAAAUGUCAAACAAGACAUAAAAACUAGACACCUCAAGCAU